AAGUCGUAACAAGGUUUCCGUAGGUGAACCUGCGGAAGGAUCAUUAACACGAACUAUUUAUUUAUCCAAUAACAAAACCAAACGUGAACUUUUCCCCUCCCUAUAUAUAUAUAACUAAUCAUUAUGUAUAUAUAGGCUAACCGCAAAACUAAAUUUUAACCUUUUAGUUUUGCCUUUUAUUUUUAAUAUUUUAACCCCUUUAAACUUAACUAAGUUCGCGGUCGAAAGGCGGAACUUUACUAAUUAUUUCUAUAUAUGUAAUGUGUAUAGAUAAUUUUAUGAAAUUAUUAAGAACAACUCUUAACAAUGGAUAUCUUGGUUCUC
rnacentral:misc_RNA from 1 species